rnacentral:rRNA from 1 species
AGUAACACGUGGAUAACCUACCUAUAAGACUGGGAUAACUUCGGGAAACCGGAGCUAAUACCGGAUAAUAUUUUGAACCGCAUGGUUCAAAAGUGAAAGACGGUCUUGCUGUCACUUAUAGAUGGAUCCGCGCUGCAUUAGCUAGUUGGUAAGGUAACGGCUUACCAAGGCAACGAUGCAUAGCCGACCUGAGAGUGUGAUCGGCCACACUGGAACUGAGACACGGUCCAG